AUUGGUCCAGGCGACAACAAAAUAUGUGAAGGCUUGUAUGAUGGGAUUGUGGGCAUGCGAGUUGGGCAAAUAAGAACAAUCGUCCUUCCACCGUCUUCAGAUUUGACUGGAGAACACAAUAAGAUGAUGAUGAAUAAGAAGCACUUCGAAGAACAUGGAAUUUAUGAUGUGUGCUUGGUCGAAAUCAUCGGAUGACCAACUUGAUCUGAAGACCAAAUAAGGGGUGUCGCGUGGCUUGUAUUUUUAGGUGUAAGAGGUUCUUCAGCUACUAGAUGUGAUGAAGGAUGAAGGACUUUAAUUUUUAGUUCACCCGUGGUUUUAGUAAGAGUCGUCUCAUUAAUUAUUAAUUAAGUGUGUUCGUAUUGAAUAAUGUAUAAUUAUUAUGCUUCUGUAAGAACACGUUUGAACUAAGUAAUAAUAAUUUUUGAUAUUUAAGAAAAAUAUAAA